GGGCAUCAUCCUAAGCCCUAACUAAAUGGAUUAGUUACACAUAACUAUGAAUACAAAAAAUAAGAAAUACAUAGAUAGAAUAAAGAAAAGAGAAGAACUAGCUGGUGGCAACAAGGUAGUUCCCCGGACAGCUCCAAGGUCUCCCUCCUUUGCAACUAUCUCCUUUCUCUCUUGUGGUGAAUCUGAAUGUGUGAGUGAUGGAUGAAAAUGAAUCUAUCUCUCUUCUAUCUCUGUUUUUUUUGAAUGAGUGUGUAGCUCUCCAUUUAUUGAGUCCAAUUUCAUCCUCCCCUCUAGCUGGUGAAACACACUUCUCUUAGCUGCUCCCAAUUGCCUCAGCUGCUCAAUAAAAGCCAACUGCUCCAGUUGCCCAAUAAAAGCCAAUUGCUCCAGCUGCCCAAUAAAUGCUUUGGUGAACUAUUCUUGGUCUCUUUAUGGCAAGCUUGACUUUUGUUCAUUUUUCAGAGUUCCCAAGCUGAUUUGUCUCCCAUGUGUGGCUGCUCUUAUGUGUAGCACAUGGCUCUAGGGAUGUAGCCACAUUAAAUGUGAUGGCAGCCAACUAUGACUUCUCUGUGUACUUGGUUGAGUCUUUGACGUGCUGAGGGCUCCAGAUUUAUCCAAUUGGGCUGAACUUUGGAUAUGUUAUAAUAGACCUCCAUUGGAACAACUGCUAUCAAGGAUGUCUCCUCAUCCGACCUGUGUAAGUUGCUGAAAUGAGGCCUGCAAGAUGACAAACGAAAUUGGACUGACAAGGAGUGUGGCCCAAAUUGGGUUUGUCUU
rnacentral:lncRNA from 1 species